rnacentral:rRNA from 1 species
UACGUAGGGUGCGAGCGUUGUCCGGAAUUAUUGGGCGUAAAGAGCUCGUAGGCGGCUUGUCGCGUCGGAUGUGAAAGCCCGGGGCUUAACUCCGGGUCUGCAUUCGAUACGGGCAGGCUAGAGUUCGGUAGGGGAGAUCGGAAUUCCUGGUGUAGCGGUGAAAUGCGCAGAUAUCAGGAGGAGCACCGGUGGCGAAGGCGGAUCUCUGGGCCGAUACUGACGCUGAGGAGCGAAAGCGUGGGGAGCAAACAGG